rnacentral:rRNA from 1 species
UAAGCCUGUGAAGGUGUGUCGUGAGGCAUGCUGGAGGUAUCAGAAGUGCGAAUGCUGACAUAAGUAACGAUAAAGCGGGUGAAAAGCCCGCUCGCCGGAAGACCAAGGGUUCCUGUCCAACGUUAAUCGGGGCAGGGUGAGUCGACCCCUAAGGCGAGGCCGAAAGGCGUAGUCGAUGGGAAACGGGUUAAUAUUCCCGUACUUGGUGUUACUGCGAAGGGGGGACGGAGAAGGCUAUGUUGGCCGGGCGACGGUUGUCCCGGUUUAAGCGUGUAGGUGUGUGUUCCAGGUAAAUCCGGUUCACUUUAACACUGAGGCGUGACGACGAGGCACUACGGUGCUGAAGCAACAAAUGCCCUGCUUCCAGGAAAAGCCUCUAAGCAUCAGGUAACAUCAAAUCGUACCCCAAACCGACACAGGUGGUCAGGUAGAGAAUACCAAGGCGCUUGAGAGAACUCGGGUGAAGGAACUAGGCAAAAUGGUGCCGUAACUUCGGGAGAAGGCACGCUGACACGUAGGUGAAGUGAUUUACUCAUGGAGCUGAAGUCAGUCGAAGAUACCAGCUGGCUGCAACUGUUUAUUAAAAACACAGCACUGUGCAAACACGAAAGUGGACGUAUACGGUGUGACGCCUGCCCGGUGCCGGAAGGUUAAUUGAUGGGGUCAGCGCAAGCGAAGCUCCUGAUCGAAGCCCCGGUAAACGGCGGCCGUAACUAUAACGGUCCUAAGGUAGCGAAAUUCCUUGUCGGGUAAGUUCCGACCUGCACGAAUGGCGUAAUGAUGGCCAGGCUGUCUCCACCCGAGACUCAGUGAAAUUGAACUCGCUGUGAAGAUGCAGUGUACCCGCGGCAAGACGGAAAGACCCCGUGAACCUUUACUAUAGCUUGACACUGAACAUUGAGCCUUGAUGUGUAGGAUAGGUGGGAGGCUUUGAAGUGUGGACGCCAGUCUGCAUGGAGCCGACCUUGAAAUACCACCCUUUAAUGUUUGAUGUUCUAACGUGGACCCGUGAUCCGGGUUGCGGACAGUGUCUGGUGGGUAGUUUGACUGGGGCGGUCUCCUCCUAAAGAGUAACGGAGGAGCACGAAGGUUGGCUAAUCCUGGUCGGACAUCAGGAGGUUAGUGCAAUGGCAUAAGCCAGCUUGACUGCGAGCGUGACGGCGCGAGCAGGUGCGAAAGCAGGUCAUAGUGAUCCGGUGGUUCUGAAUGGAAGGGCCAUCGCUCAACGGAUAAAAGGUACUCCGGGGAUAACAGGCUGAUACCGCCCAAGAGUUCAUAUCGACGGCGGUGUUUGGCACCUCGAUGUCGGCUCAUCACAUCCUGGGGCUGAAGUAGGUCCCAAGGGUAUGGCUGUUCGCCAUUUAAAGUGGUACGCGAGCUGGGUUUAGAACGUCGUGAGACAGUUCGGUCCCUAUCUGCCGUGGGCGCUGGAGAACUGAGGGGGGCUGCUCCUAGUACGAGAGGACCGGAGUGGACGCAUCACUGGUGUUCGGGUUGUCAUGCCAAUGGCACUGCCCGGUAGCUAAAUGCGGAAGAGAUAAGUGCUGAAAGCAUCUAAGCACGAAACUUGCCCCGAGAUGAGUUCUCCCUGAGACUUAAAGUCUCCUGAAGGAACGUUGAAGACGACGACGUUGAUAGG